UACGAAGGGGGGCUAGCGUUGCUCGGAAUCACUGGGCGUAAAGAGCUCGUAGGCGGUCUGUCGCGUCGGCUGUGAAAACCCGGGGCUCAACCCCGGGCCUGCAGUCGAUACGGGCAGACUAGAGUGUGGUAGGGGGAGACUGGAAUUCCUGGUGUAGCGGUGAAAUGCGCAGAUAUCAGGAGGAACACCGGUGGCGAAGGCGGAUCUCUAGGCCAUUACUGACGCUGAGGAGCGAAAGCGUGGGGAGCGAACAGG
rnacentral:rRNA from 1 species